rnacentral:misc_RNA from 1 species
GCAUCCUGAAAUCUGCAUAAUAAUACAUUCCCAUGAUAACCAAGGCAGCAAUUAAAAUUUUGAACCUUUCUUAGGACUUCAUAAGUAUAUGUCAUCAGAAAGUAAUCUAGAAACGCUAACCCUCUGUUUGAAUUGAGGGAAACGGAUAGAAAAGAAAAGAAAAUACAAGAAAUUAGAUUUCUCUUAGGAAAACAAAUAGAGAAGAGAAAUGAGGAGAGAAGAGAAAUGAGAAGAAAAGAGGAGAAAGGAGGGGAAAUUCAGUUUCUCAAAUCCUUGUAACUAAGUAAUGCAAAAUAGGGAAGAUUAGAAUUUUAUUUAGGA